AUUGUUUGAGCUUGAAGCGCCAUAUUGAAGCUGUGGAGGGUUAACAGUAGUGUUUAAAUGAGG
rnacentral:tRNA from 1 species